CCCUUAGAUGUUCUGGGCCGCACGCGCGCUACACUGAUGCAUUCAACGAGUCUAAAACCUGCUCUGAUAGGGGUGGGUAAUCUUUUGAAUGUGCAUCGUGAUUGGGAUAGAUGAUUGCAAUUUUUCAUCUUCAACGAGGAAUGCCUAGUAAACGCAAGUCAUCAGCUUGCAUUGAUUACGUCCCUGCCCUUUGUACACACCGCCCGUCGCACCUACCGAUUGAAUGGUCCGGUGAAAUUCUCGGACGACGCCAGGGAAUGUUAAUUCGGCACCUGAUGUUGAAAGUUAAUUAAACCUUACCAUUUAGAGGAAGGUGAAGUCGUAACA
rnacentral:rRNA from 1 species